AGUGAACGCUGGCGGCGUGCCUAAUACAUGCAAGUCGAACGAAGUGGCGAACGGGUGAGUAAUAUAUAGUUAAUCUGCCCUACACAGAGGAAAAACAGUUGGAAACGGCUGCUAAUACUUCAUAGUGCAGGAUGAGACUAUAUCGUAUCAGCUAGUUGGUAAGGUAAUGGCUUACCAAGUCUAUGACGCGUAACUGGUCUGAGAGGAUGAUCAGUCACAUUUGAACUGAGACACGGUCCAAUCACCUUCGGGAGGCAGCAGUAAGGAAUAUUGCGCAAUGGGGGAAACCCUAAAGCGGCAUCGCCGCGUGGAGGAUGACAAUUUUCGGAGCGUAAACUCCUUUUAUCAGGAAAGCGGUACCUGCUGAAUAAGCACCGGCUAACUCCGUGCCAGCAGCCGCGGUAAUUC
rnacentral:rRNA from 1 species